UCUCUUUGCUGUCUCAUGGUAAAAAAAUCCAGUGGAAAGUUGACCCUCAGCCCCUCCUUUUCCUCCCAUUUGAAACCCACCAGGACAGACCCGGUCCGGCCGUCUUCAGGCAGAGGCGAUUCCAGCUGGGAUUUUCCUGUCACUCAGCUGAGCUCCUGAUCCCUCCUGAAAGCAGCCAACUUGGUUAAACAGUUCUUGCUUUUGCAUGGGAGUAGAUGUAACAAAUAUCCCAGAAACAUCAGGUUAUGCACAUCAGUCUUUGCAAAGGUAGUGGAGAAGAUGGACAUGUUUGAAGACCACUCAGAGAAACCUCAGCAUUAGCAGUGGGAGAAGUGGCACAUGAAGUCAAAGUGAAACCAAUCUGAUUUACGCUUUUGAGUAAAAUAUUGUAUUGAAGUUGCAUUUUGGUGUAAUAAAGCUACAGCUCAGGAGAAUGUCUUACCUUUAGGCUCAAGAGGUCUGGUGUCCAAUGGUUGCUCUGACAGUCUGUGAAAUCAAAGGAUGCUCUUUCACUAGAAGGAGUCAAAAGGACUGAAAUCCACAUGGCUACAGGAAGAGUUUUAGCCGAAGACUGAAUGUUUCAAAUUUGUGUGAUAGACUUGUCUGUAUUGAUCCUGCUUUCAUAUAAAAAAA